GACGAACGCUGGCGGCGUGCCUAAUACAUGCAAGUCGAACGCAGUGGGGACGGGUGAGUAACACGUGGGUAACCUCCCAUCAGAGGGGAUAACACUUGGAAACAGGUGCUAAACCGAUACUGAUGGAUGGACUCGCGGUGCAGUAGCUAGUUGGUGAGGCAACGGCUCACCAAGGCCACGAUGCAUAGCCGCCCGGAGAGGGUGCUCGGCCAGACUGGGACUGAGACACGGCCCAGACUCCUACGGUAGGCAGCAGUGGGGAAUCUUCGGCAAUGGACGAAAGUCUGACCGAGCAAGGCCGCGUGAGUGAAGAAGGUUUUCGGAUCGUAAAACUCUGUUGUUAGAGAAGCGGUAUCUAACCAGAAAGCCACGGCUAACUACGUGCCAGCCGCCGCGGUAAUUC
rnacentral:rRNA from 1 species